rnacentral:rRNA from 1 species
AACGAACGCUGGCGGCAGGCCUAACACAUGCAAGUCGAGCGAGCAUUUCGGUGCUAGCGGCGGACGGGUGAGUAACGCGUGGGAACGUGCCCUUUUCUGCGGAAUAGUCCUGGGAAACUGGGGGUAAUACCGCAUACGCCCUUUUGGGGAAAGAUUUAUCGGAGAAGGAUCGGCCCGCGUUGGAUUAGGUAGUUGGUGGGGUAAUGGCCCACCAAGCCGACGAUCCAUAGCUGGUUUGAGAGGAUGAUCGGCCACACUGGGACUGAGACACGGCCCAGACUCCUACGGGAGGCAGCAGUGGGGAAUCUUAGACACUGGGGGCAACCCUGAUCUAGCCAUGCCGCGUGAGUGAUGAAGGCCUUAGGGUUGUAAAGCUCUUUCAGCUGGGAAGAUAAUGACGGUACCAGCAGAAGAAGCCCCGGCUAACUCCGUG